AGGAUGAACGCUGGCGGUCUGCUUAACACAUGCAAGUCGAACGGAGUACCUCGGUACUUAGUGGCGGACGGGUGAGUAACGCGUGAGAAUCUGCCCUUAGGUCGGGGACAACCAUUGGAAACGAUGGCUAAAUACCGGAUAAGCCGAGAGGUAAAAGAUUAAUUGCCUAGGGAAGAGCUCGCGUCUGAUUAGCUAGUUGGUGAGGUAAAGGCUCACCAAGGCAUCGAUCAGUAGCUGGUCUGAGAGGAUGAUCAGCCACACUGGGACUGAGACACGGCCCAGACUCCUACGGGAGGCAGCAGUGGGGAAUUUUCCGCAAUGGGCGAAAGCCUGACGGAGCAAGACCGCGUGGGGGAAGAAGGCUCUUGGGUUGUAAACCCCUUUUCUCUGGGAAGAACACAAUGACGGUACCAGAGGAAUCAGCAUCGGCUAACUCCGUGCCAGCACGCCGC
rnacentral:rRNA from 1 species